rnacentral:rRNA from 1 species
AACGCUAGCUACAGGCUUAACACAUGCAAGUCGCGGGGCAGCAUGAGAGAUGCUUGCAUCUUUUGAUGGCGACCGGCGCACGGGUGAGUAACGCGUAUCCAACCUGCCCCUUUCCCCGGCACAGCCCGUAGAAAUGCGGAUUAAUGCCGGAUGCGGUCGUGUGACGGCAUCAGAGCACGACGAAAGGAUUUGUCCGGAAAGGGAUGGGGAUGCGUCCGAUUAGCUAGACGGCGGGGUAAAGGCCCACCGUGGCGACGAUCGGUAGGGGCCCUGAGAGGGGAAUCCCCCACAUUGGGACUGAGACACGGCCCAAACUCCUACGGGAGGCAGCAGUGAGGAAUAUUGGUCAAUGGGCGGAAGCCUGAACCAGCCAAGUAGCGUGAGGGAUGAAGGCCCUAUGGGUUGUAAACCUCUUUUGUGCGGGGAUAAAGUGAGGGACGUGUCCCUCAUUGCAGGUACCGCACGAAUAAGGACCGGCUAAUUCCGUGCCAGCAGCCGCGGUAAUACGGAAGGUCCGGGCGUUAUCCGGAUUUAUUGGGUUUAAAGGGAGCGCAGGCCGUCCUUUAAGCGUGCUGUGAAAUGCCGCGGCUCAACCGUGGCACUGCAGCGCGAACUGGAGGACUUGAGUACGCACGAGGUAAGCGGAAUUCGUGGUGUAGCGGUGAAAUGCUUAGAUAUCACGAAGAACUCCGAUUG